rnacentral:rRNA from 1 species
GGGGAAUAUUGGACAAUGGGCGAAAGCCUGAUCCAGCCAUGCCGCGUGUGUGAAGAAGGCCUUUUGGUUGUAAAGCACUUUAAGCGAGGAGGAGGCUACCGAGAUUAAUACUCUUGGAUAGUGGACGUUACUCGCAGAAUAAGCACCGGCUAACUCUGUGCCAGCAGCCGCGGUAAUACAGAGGGUGCGAGCGUUAAUCGGAUUUACUGGGCGUAAAGCGUGCGUAGGCGGCUUUUUAAGUCGGAUGUGAAACCCCUGAGCUUAACUUAGGAAUUGCAUUCGAUACUGGGAAGCUAGAGUAUGGGAGAGGAUGGUAGAAUUCCAGGUGUAGCGGUGAAAUGCGUAGAGAUCUGGAGGAAUACCGAUGGCGAAGGCAGCCAUCUGGCCUAAUACUGACGCUGAGGUACGAAAGCAUGGGGAGCAAUC